rnacentral:piRNA from 1 species
UGAGUUGACAUGCAAGCAGAUUAUGGU